rnacentral:rRNA from 1 species
AGCAGCCGCGGUAAAUUCCAGCUCCAAUAGCGUAUAUUAAAGUUGUUGCAGUUAAAAAGCUCGUAGUUGAAUUUCGGGGCCAGUAGGUCGGUCGUGCCACUGGUAUGCACUGGCCUCACUGGUCCCUCCCUCUUGUAGAACCGUGAUGGCAUUAAUUUGUUGUUGCGGGGAAACAGGACUGUUACUUUGAAAAAAUUAGAGUGCUUAAAGCAGGCUCGCGCUUGAAUACAUUAGCAUGGAAUAACGAAAUAGGACGAUCGAACCUAUUUUGUUGGUUUCUAGGAUCGACGUAAUGAUUAAUAGGGAUAGUUGGGGGCAUUAGUAUUCAAUUGUCAGAGGUGAAAUUCUUGGAUUUAUUGAAGACUAACUACUGCGAAAGCAUUUGCCAAGGAUGUUUUCA